CAAGUCCGCCGAAUUGCAGUUUUCCGGCGAGAUCGAUCUUGUCUGAAGUUUUAGGUGGAGGUUGUUGCUCGACGAGAUCGAUUUGAAGGUCUAGGCAGCAAUCUCCACCCAAAACUUCAGACAAGAUCGAUCUCGCCUGAAAACUGCAAUUUGGCGGACUUG
rnacentral:pre_miRNA from 1 species